CUUCCGGUACAGGGAAAGCUCCACACAGCGUUUCACCCGCGUUGAAAAAUUGUGAAGCGGGCGACGGUAGCCUAGGGAGUAAGACGCUGGACUACUGCUCAGAAGAUCCUGAGUUCAAAUCCCAGCACCACUAAGCCGUCACUGCUGGGCCCUGGAGCAAAACCCUCAGCCAUCACCUGCCCAGCUAAUGGGGUCUGUUAAAUGCCAUAAAUGUAAAUGAAUUAGUCCUUUAUCAGGUUAGUACUGGUGUGACAGUUACUGUCAUGAAUAUACACCUGUGUAGAUGAACUACUUUUAACGUAAGCUAAAUAUUAUUGCUAGCAAUGAUUUAAAUAUAUAUUUCCAUCUCUUGCAUUCAUUCACAACUGUAACGGAAAUCGUGUGUGUGGGGGGAAAAAAAAAACCACAGUACAACUUUUGCCAAAAUAAUUUUUUUUAUUGUGCAAUUUCAUGAACGGCAGCUUAUCUGAAUGUUAUUCCAAUAUAGUUAACCUGCAUGCACUAAGGUAUCAAACAGUUUAAAAAUUGAAAAGACACAUUUACAAAAUUUACACAAUACCCCAUAGGAAAAAUAUAUAAACCCAUGCACGGCCUGACCUGGAACAGCCCCUUUUUUUAUUCCCCAGGAUGCUUGCCUGUAUUACAUAAAGUCCACCCAUGAGGAAGUGUUACCUGAUCAGCCAGCUUUUCUUAUAGACUUAUCUAAAGUACACCCUCAUACAGCACUAUAAUAAGGAUUGUGGAACAAUGCUGUUUUCCAAACCCAUUACUAGACAGCUUGAGUUUAUACGUAUAUGACUUAAAAACAAGCCAAAACCCACCCUUUCCCAGUGAAACUUUUUAGAAAAAAACUUGCAAAAUAUCUACCUUUACUUAAGUUUCCUGAAAAUGCCAAUUAUCCAGCAGCCUUAUUGCUUUUCUUCCUCCACUUGCAACUUAAAAGACAUGCAACAUCAUUAAAACACCACAAUCAACUUACCUGAGUUUGUGUCAGUCAACUGGCAAGCAGUUUAAUAAGGUGAAGGGCUGAUUGUGUUUUAAGUGCUUAAAACUUUGUCAAUGGGCAAUUCAGGCUCACAGCAUUCAGAAGAGAGGAUGUUAGAUAUGGCUGUUAGGCAUGUGGGAACAGGUGGUUUAGAGUUAGAAGGG